rnacentral:rRNA from 1 species
GACGAACGCUGGCGGCGUGCUUAACACAUGCAAGUCGAACGGAAAGGCCCUGCUUUUGUGGGGUGCUCGAGUGGCGAACGGGUGAGUAACACGUGAGUAACCUGCCCUUGACUUUGGGAUAACUUCAGGAAACUGGGGCUAAUACCGGAUAGGAGCUCCUGCUGCAUGGUGGGGGUUGGAAAGUUUCGGCGGUUGGGGAUGGACGCGCGGCUUAUCAGCUUGUUGGUGGGGUAGUGGCUUACCAAGGCUUUGACGGGUAGCCGGCCUGAGAGGGUGACCGGCGACAUUGGGACUGAGAUACGGCCCAGACUCCUACGGGAGGCAGCAGGGGGGAAUAUUGCACAAUGGGCGGAAGCCUGAUGCAGCAACGCCGCGUGCGGGAUGACGGCCUUCGGGUUGUAAACCGCUUUCGCCUGUGACGAAGCGUGAGUGACGGUAAUGGGUAAAGAAGCACCGGCUAACUACGUG